rnacentral:rRNA from 1 species
GAUGAACGCUAGCUACAGGCUUAACACAUGCAAGUCGAGGGGCAGCAUGAAGUCAGCUUGCUGACUUUGAUGGCGACCGGCGCACGGGUGAGUAACGCGUAUCCAACCUUCCCCUUACUCAGGAAUAGCCCGUUGAAAGACGGAUUAAUGCCUGAUGUUCUCUAUUUCCGGCAUCGGUAAUAGAGCAAAGAUUCAUCGGUAAGGGAUGGGGAUGCGUAUGAUUAGCUUGUUGGCGGGGUAACGGCCCACCAAGGCAACGAUCAUUAGGGGUUCUGAGAGGAAGGUCCCCCACACUGGAACUGAGACACGGUCCAGACUCCUACGGGAGGCAGCAGUGAGGAAUAUUGGUCAAUGGAGGCAACUCUGAACCAGCCAAGUAGCGUGCAGGAUGACGGCCCUAUGGGUUGUAAACUGCUUUUGUAUGAGGGUAAAUGUAGGUACGUGUACCUAUUUGAAAGUAUCAUACGAAUAAGGAUCGGC